rnacentral:rRNA from 1 species
AGUGAACGCUGGCGGUAGGCCUAACACAUGCAAGUCGAACGGCAGCACAGUAAUAGCUUGCUCUUACGGGUGGCGAGUGGCGGACUGGUGAGGAAUACAUCGGAAUCUACUUUUUCGUGGGGGAUAACGUAGGGAAACUUACGCUAAUACCGCAUACGACCUACGGUUGAAAGCAUGUGAUCUUCGGACCUUGCGCGAUUGAAUGAGCCGAUUUCGGGUUAUCUAGUUGGCGGGGUAAAGGCCCACCAAGGCGACGAUCCGUAGCUGGUCUGAGGGGAUGAUAAGCAAAACGGGAAAUGAGAAACGGGCAAGAAACCUAGGGAAGGAAGAAGUGGGGAAAAGUGGAAAAGGGGCGAAAGACUGAUCAAGCAAUACCGCGAGGGUGAAGAAGGACAUCGGGUUGUAAAGCAGUUUGGUUGGGAAAGAAAAGGAGCCGGUUAAAACCACGCUGUGCUGACGGAACCCAAAGAAUAAGCACCGGCAAACUGAGU